CGAAUACUGUACAAAAACAGAAGAUUACCUUGGAGAAGUUAAGUACAUAAUUAAUACAGGUAUCAAGCAUGGAUAUAGUAAAGGAUUGAUUUACUCGAUAAAACGUAAUAUUGAGAGGAUGAUGAAACAACCAGUAAAUUUAGAAGGAGACAAUUUAAGCAUACAAGAGACCCCAGAAGAAAAAUACGCCGCCUUACCGUUCCACCUAACUAAAAUCCCAGUUGUAAAGAAAAUAGCAAAAAUCUCAGAAAGAAAAAUAGCUCCUAAGAGAGGCCCUAUGGUUUUCUCCUACCUAAGGAACAAUAAAGAUUGCCUAGAAGACAAAAAUAAAGCAGGCAUAUAUAGCAUUCCAUUAUAUGAUAAGAAAUCAAGCCAAAACAAAGAUUAUGUAGGAGCCACAACACGCA
rnacentral:lncRNA from 1 species